AUGAACGCUGGCGGCGUGCCUAAUACCUGCAAGUCGAGCGAACGGACGAGAAGCUUGCUUCUCUGAUGUUAGCGGCGGACGGGUGAGUAACACGUGGAUAACCUACCUAUAAGACUGGGAUAACUUCGGGAAACCGGAGCUAAUACCGGAUAAUAUUUUGAACCGCAUGGUUCAAAAGUGAAAGACGGUCUUGCUGUCACUUAUAGAUGGAUCCGCGCUGCAUUAGCUAGUUGGUAAGGUAACGGCUUACCAAGGCAACGAUGCAUAGCCGACCUGAGAGGGUGAUCGGCCACACUGGAACUGAGACACGGUCCAGACUCCUACGGGAGGCAGCAGUAGGGAAUCUUCCGCAAUGGGCGAAAGCCUGACGGAGCAACGCCGCGUGAGUGAUGAAGGUCUUCGGAUCGUAAAACUCUGUUAUUAGGGAAGAACAUAUGUGUAAGUAACUGUGCACAUCUUGACGGUACCUAAUCAGAAAGCCACGGCUAACUACGU
rnacentral:rRNA from 1 species